UACCAGCACCCCGAGUGGUCGGGACGUUUAUUGGGCCUAAAGCAUCCGUAGCCGGUUCUACAAGUCUUCCGUUAAAUCCACCUGCUUAACAGAUGGGCUGCGGAAGAUACUAUAGAGCUAGGAGGCGGGAGAGGCAAGCGGUACUCGAUGGGUAGGGGUAAAAUCCGUUGAUCCAUUGAAGACCACCAGUGGCGAAGGCGGCUUCUUGGGCCAUUACUGACGCUGAGGCGCGAAAGCCAGGGGAGCGAACGGG
rnacentral:rRNA from 1 species